GACGUAGGGCGCGAGCGUUGUCCGGAUUUAUUGGGCGUAAAGAGCUUGUAGGCGGUUUGUCGCGUCUGCUGUGAAAUUUCGGGGCUCAACCCCGAACUUGCAGUGGGUACGGGCAGACUAGAGUGUGGUAGGGGGAGACUGGAAUUCCUGGUGUAGGCGGUGAAAUGCGCAGAUAUCAGGAGGAACACCGAUGGCGAAGGCAGGUCUCUGGGCCAUAACUGACGCUGAGAAGCGAAAGCAUGGGGAGCGAACAGG
rnacentral:rRNA from 1 species